rnacentral:rRNA from 1 species
AGUGAACGCUGGCGGUAUGCUUAACACAUGCAAGUCGAACGGCAGCACAGUAAUAGCUUGCUCUUACGGGUGGCGAGUGGCGGACGGGUGAGGAAUACAUCGGAAUCUACUUUUUCGUGGGGGAUAACGUAGGGAAACUUACGCUAAUACCGCAUACGACCUACGGGUGAAAGCAGGGGAUCUUCGGACCUUGCGCGAUUGAAUGAGCCGAUGUCGGAUUAGCUAGUUGGCGGGGUAAAGGCCCACCAAGGCGACGAUCCGUAGCUGGUCUGAGAGGAUGAUCAGCCACACUGGAACUGAGACACGGUCAAGACUCCUACGGGAGGCAGCAGUGGGGAAUAUUGGACAAUGGGCGCAAGCAUGAUCCAGCCAUACCGCGUGGGUGAAGAAGGCCUUCGGGUUGUAAAGCCCUUUUGUUGGGAAAGAAAAGCAGCAGGUUAAUACCCCGCUGUUCUGACGGUACCCAAAGAAUAAGCACCGGCUAACUUCGUG